rnacentral:rRNA from 1 species
UACGUAGGGGGCUAGCGUUGUCCGGAUUUAUUGGGCGUAAAGAGCGUGUAGGCGGCCAUGUAGGUCCGGUGUGAAAACUCGAGGCUUAACCUCGAGAUGUCAUCGGAAACCAUUUGGCUAGAGUCCGGAAGAGGAGAGUGGAAUUCCUGGUGUAGCGGUGAAAUGCGUAGAUAUCAGGAGGAAUACCGAUGGCGAAGGCAGGUCUCUGGGCUAUAACUGACGCUGAGGAGCGAAAGCGUGGGUAGCGAACAGG